AGAGUUUGAUCAUGGCUCAGGACGAACGCUGGCGGCGUGCUUAACACAUGCAAGUGGUGCGACGAACCAGGGCUUGCCCUGGGGCAAAGCCGCGAACGGGUGAGUAACACGUGAGUAACCUGCCCCGAUGACCGGGACAACCCGAGGAAACUCGGGCUAAUACCGGAUGUGGCGCACGGAUUUAAGUCUGUGCGCUAAAGGAAGCUUCGGCCUCCGCAUUGGGAGGGGCUCGCGGCCCAUUAGCUUGUUGGUGGGGUAACGGCCUACCAAGGCAACGAUGGGUAGCUGGUCUGAGAGGACGAUCAGCCACACUGGGACUGAGACACGGCCCAGACUCCUACGGGAGGCAGCAGUGGGGAAUCUUGCGCAAUGCGCGAAAGCGGCGCAGCAACGCCGCGUGGGGGAAGACGGCCUUCGGGUUGUAAACCCCUUUCAGGAGGGACGAAGGUUCACCGGUGAAUAGCCGUGUGGAUUGACGGUACCUCCAGAAGAAGCUCCGGCUAACUACGUGCCAGCAGCCGCGGUAAUACGUAGGGAGCAAGCGUUGUCCGGAAUCAUUGGGCGUAAAGCGCGCGUAGGCGGCCCUGUAAGUCCGCUGUGAAAGUCAAAGGCUCAACCUUUGAAAGCCGGUGGAUACUGCAGGGCUAGAGUCCGGAAGAGGCGAGUGGAAUUCCUGGUGUAGCGGUGGAAUGCGCAGAUAUCAGGAGGAACACCAAUAGCGAAGGCAGCUCGCUGGGACGGUACUGACGCUAAGGCGCGAAAGCGUGGGGAGCGAACAGGAUUAGAUACCCUAGUAGUCC
rnacentral:rRNA from 1 species